UACGGAGGGGGCUAGCGUUGUUCGGAAUUACUGGGCGUAAAGCGCGCGUAGGCGGCUUUGUAAGUUAGAGGUGAAAGCCCGGAGCUCAACUCCGGAACUGCCUUUAAGACUGCAUCGCUAGAACGUCGGAGAGGUAAGUGGAAUUCCGAGUGUAGAGGUGAAAUUCGUAGAUAUUCGCAAGAACACCAGUGGCGAAGGCGGCUCACUGGCCCGGUACUGACGCUGAGGCACGAAAGCGUGGGGAGCAAACAGG
rnacentral:rRNA from 1 species